AGCGAACGCUAGCGGCGGGCCUAACACAUGCAAGUCGAGCGGAGGGGCAACCCUCAGCGGCGAACGGGUGAGUAACACGUAGGUAAUGUACCCUCUGGUGGGGAAUAACCGUGGGAAACCAUGGCUAAUACCGCAUAUGUCUUUCGAGAUGAAAGCAGCAAUGCGCCAGAGGAGCAGCCUGCGGCCGAUUAUUUAGUCCUAGUUGGUGAGGUAAUGGCUCACCAAGGGUACGAUCGGUAGCUGGUCUGAGAGGAUGAUCAGCCACACUGGAACUGAGACACGGUCCAGACUCCUACGGGAGGCAGCAGUGGGGAAUAUUGCGCAAUGGGCGAAAGCCUGACGCAGCCACGCCGCGUGAGCGAUGAAGGCCUUCGGUCGUAAAGCGUCUGUGGGGAGAGAAGAAUAAAGACCUGUGAAGAGCAGGCCUUGACGGUA
rnacentral:rRNA from 1 species